rnacentral:rRNA from 1 species
GAUGAACGCUGGCGGCGUGCCUAAUACAUGCCAGUCGAGCGAACAGACGAGGAGCUUGCUCCUCUGACGUUAGCGGCGGACGGGUGAGUAACACGUGGAUAACCUGCCUAUAAGACUGGGAUAACUUCGGGAAACCGGAGCUAAUACCGGAUAACAUGUUGAACCGCAUGGUUCAACAGUGAAAGACGGUCUUGCUGUCACUUAUAGAUGGAUCCGCGCCGCAUUAGCUAGUUGGUAAGGUAACGGCUUACCAAGGCAACGAUGCGUAGCCGACCUGAGAGGGUGAUCGGCCACACUGGAACUGAGACACGGUCCAGACUCCUACGGGAGGCAGCAGUAGGGAAUCUUCCGCAAUGGGCGAAAGCCUGACGGAGCAACGCCGCGUGAGUGAAGAAGGUCUUCGGAUCGUAAAACUCUGUUAUUAGGGAAGAACAAAUGUGUAAGUAACUAUGCACGUCUUGACGGUACCUAAUCAGAAAGCCACGGCUAACUACGUG